UACGUAGGUGGCAAGCGUUAUCCGGAUUUAUUGGGCGUAAAGGGAACGCAGGCGGUCUUUUAAGUCUGAUGUGAAAGCCUUCGGCUUAACCGGAGUAGUGCAUUGGAAACUGGGAGACUUGAGUGCAGAAGAGGAGAGUGGAACUCCAUGUGUAGCGGUGAAAUGCGCAGAUAUAUGGAAGAACACCAGUGGCGAAAGCGGCUCUCUGGUCUGUAACUGACGCUGAGGUUCGAAAGCGUGGGUAGCAAACAGG
rnacentral:rRNA from 1 species